AGAGUUUGAUCCUGGCUCAGAUUGAACGCUGGCGGAAUGCUUUACACAUGCAAGUCGAGCGGCAGCGCGGGGCAACCGUGGCGGCGAGCGGCGAACGGGUGAGUAAUACAUCGGAACGUACCCAGUUGUGGGGAUAGCCCGGCGAAAGCCGGAUUAAUACCGCAUACGACCUGAGGGUGAAAGGGGGGGAUCGCAAGACCUCUCGCAGUUGGAGCGGCCGAUGGCGGAUUAGCUAGUUGGUGAGGUAAAGGCUCACCAAGGCGACGAUCCGUAGCUGGUCUGAGAGGACGACCAGCCACACUGGAACUGAGACACGGUCCAGACUCCUACGGGAGGCAGCAGUGGGGAAUUUUGGACAAUGGGGGCAACCCUGAUCCAGCCAUUCCGCGUGAGUGAAGAAGGCCUUCGGGUUGUAAAGCUCUUUCGGCAGGAACGAAACGGUGGGUCCUAAUACGAUCUGCUAAUGACGGUACCUGAAGAAGAAGCACCGGCUAACUACGUG
rnacentral:rRNA from 1 species